rnacentral:lncRNA from 1 species
GUCAUUUUUGGAUCCUAGAGACAGCCGGUUGCAGAGCUACACUGAGCCCCAGCCCUUACAUCUCAGCAGAUGGGCAGCUGUCUCAGAAGGCAGACUGGGGAACCCCCUACAUCAUAGAGCUGCAGGGACCAGAAAUAAAUAGCUCCGUCUUCUCGGAGGGUGAUUAAGGUGUCGUCGGGCAGAGGGAGAAUGCGCAGCACGGGUCUCCCGUAUGUCAGCCUCUGCUGAAUGGCAGGCAGCAGGAGAGAGGCCUCUGCCUGCCGAGCAGCCGCCUUGGCUUGCUCCGAAUACUCCAGCUGCAGAUGCCAUGAGGUGGCUGGGACUCCUCUGUCACAUGCCCCCUCUACAGUGGACUGCGAUGCCACUGGCCCAAAGCAACAGGCAAAGCCUACUGACCGUGAGCAGAAACUCCUGGCCAUGUGAGCCAAAGAUCUGACCUUUCUCUUUCAAGACUUCAGAGAUACAACCAUGACUGUCCCCUACAGGGGACGUUUUAUGAGUCACUAUGUCUAGGUGUGACUAAUGGGUGAGUCUUCUGCAGCACUGGCCGUGGUAGCUGGCUGGCUGCCCGUACCCUGGCAGACUUCCCCUCAGGACCAAGAAUGUCCAGGGUCUGCAAGACUGCCUAGUGUCACUGGAUCCCCAGUGGUACCUUGGAUGGCUGGUUCUCCCAGAGAAGUCUUGCAUCUUAGGGAAACAGAGGCAGCGGUGGUUUGUAGACUUUGUCUCUUGUGAAGCACGGAGCCCUUUAGGAAUUUGUACUUAGAGUGAUAUCUGCUAGGCCCCCGCUUAACCUACAGCUUGUUUAUUUUUUGAUAAAUAUAUACUAGAAGGAAAGUUUUUUCUUUUGCUGCCCAACAAGGCAAAAGGAGUUUGUAAUCCCAUUCCUCCAUGUCUUAAGAGACAAAAGAUAGAUCAGGUAACCUAUGGAGAGGUUUUGCUUAGGCCUAUCAGCCAUACCACGGUGUCCACUGGCCCUGCUUUCUAGUUAGAAACAAGCCUGUCCCGCUGAACUCUGUCUGAGGCUAACACUGGGCACCUGAGCCAUCUCUACCUGUUCUCAUCGCCUUCUGACCGCCCCUGGCUCGCCUAACCACCCUCUGCGCAUGCCCAGUCCGCAGAGCCGCAGAGCCAGAAAGGAUAUCAAAGAAAGCUGGUGCAAGCAGGAGCUUAAAGAGCGCUAAGCAAUUCAGACAAGAGCUAAUCCAAGUCAUCGCAGGGGUGCAUUUGUGCGGCGGCCAGAUCAGAGCCAACAUGGGUGCCCUGGGCUCCCUAGAAUCCUGUCUGCCAGAGUGUGCUUGCAAGGCUGGAAGACAGCAGCCUGCUUCAGAUCAUGAGCUGGCAUGCCCUGGUUGCCCAUGGCAACCCAGCUGCUCUGGAGUGCUAGCGUUUGUAAAUGUGUGUGGGCUUAAAAUUGUAUUAUUGAUUCCGUCUGAAAGACGAUAGUCUGAUUUGUAUAUAGCUCGGAAUAAAUUAAUCAUUAUCCUUUAUAGCCC